rnacentral:rRNA from 1 species
UGAGUAGCGAAUGAGGAGCGAGAAACUCCUCCGCCGAAUAACUAAGGGUUCCAGGGUCAAGCUAAUCUUCCCUGGGUAAGUCGGGACCUAAGGCGAGGCCGACAGGCGUAGUCGAUGGACAAGGAGUUAAUAUUCUCCUACCCGCAAAAAACCGACCAAGUCGAUAGCGUAAUGCUAAGAAUCUUGAAAAGAGGUGACUUCCCUUCGGGGUUGGGCUUCUUGGAAACAUUCGAACCAAGCGUGUUUAGACUAGCGUAUUAACAGGAGUGACAAAGAAAGGUAGCUGGGCAUGGCGAUGGUUGUCCAUGUAUAAGCGUGUAGGCUUUGAUGUAGGUAAAUCCGCAUCAUUUACGGCUGAGACGUGAUAUCGAGCACGUAUGUGCAAAUUCAGUGAUCCUAUGCUUUCGAGAAAAGCUUCGACGCGAGGUUUUAGCGGCCCGUACCCUAAACCGACUCAGGUGGUUAGGUAGAGAAUACUAAGGCGAUCGAGAUAAUCAAAGUGAAGGAACUCGGCAAAAUACAUCCGUAACUUCGGGAUAAGGAUGACCAAUAAAUCGUGAGACACUUCUCGUGUUUAGCGACUAAGGUGACACAAACCAGGGGGUAGCGACUGUUUAUCAAAAACACAGGUCCGUGCUAACUAGAAAUAGGCUGUAUACGGACUGACGCCUGCCCGGUGCUGGAAGGUUAAGAGGAAAUGUUAGCAUUAGCGAAGCAUAGAAUUUAAGCCCCAGUAAACGGCGGUGGUAACUAUAACCAUCCUAAGGUAGCGAAAUUCCUUGUCGGGUAAGUUCCGACCUGCACGAAUGGCGUAACGACUUCCCCACUGUCUCCACUUUGAACUCGGCGAAAUUGCAUUACGAGUAAAGAUGCUCGUUACGCGCAGAAGGACGAAAAGACCCCGGGACCUUUACUAUAUCUUGGUAUUGGUGUUCGGUGCAAUUUGUGUAGCAUAGGUGGGAGACUUUGAAGCAAGAGCGCUAGCUUUUGUGGAGUCAUCAUUGAAAUACCACUCUGAUUGUAUUGGAUUCCUAACUUAGCUCCGUAAUCCGGAGCAGGGACAGUGCCUGGUGGGUAGUUUAACUGGGGCGGUUGCCUCCUAAAGAGUAACGGAGGCGCUCAAAGGUUUGCUCAUGCUGGUUGGCAAUCAGCAUUCGAGUGUAAGUGCACAAGCAAGCUUGACUGUGAGACUGACAAGUCGAGCAGGGACGAAAGUCGGAACUAGUGAUCCGGCCGUGGAUUGUGGAAUCGCGGUCGCUCAACGGAUAAAAGGUACCCCGGGGAUAACAGGCUGAUCCUCCCCAAGAGUCCAUAUCGACGGGAUGGUUUGGCACCUCGAUGUCGGCUCGUCGCAUCCUGGGGCUGGAGUUGGUCCCAAGGGUUAGGCUGUUCGCCUAUUAAAGCGGUACGCGAGCUGGGUUCAGAACGUCGUGAGACAGUUCGGUCUCUAUCCUCUGUGCGCGUUUGAAACUUGAGAAGACCUAUCCCUAGUACGAGAGGACCGGGAUGGACAAACCUCUGGUAUGCCAGUUGUUCCGCCAGGAGCAUGGCUGGUUAGCUACGUUUGGAAGGGAUAACCGCUGAAAGCAUCUAAGCGGGAAGCCUGCUUCAAGAUUAGGUUUCAUUGGAGUCUUGAACUCCUGAAGGAUCCCAGUAGACGACUGGGUUGAUAGGCUGGAUGUGGAAGCUCGGUAACGAGUGGAGCUGACCAGUACUAAUUGUCCGAAGACUUCUUUUU